UACGUAGGGCGCAAGCGUUGUCCGGAAUUAUUGGGCGUAAAGAGCUCGUAGGCGGCUUGUUGCGUCGGUUGUGAAAGCCCGGGGCUUAACCCCCGGGUCUGCAGUCGAUGCGGGCAGGCUAGAGUGUGGUAGGGGAGAUCGGAAUUCCUGGUGUAGCGGUGAAAUGCGCAGAUAUCAGGAGGAACACCUGUGGCGAAAGCGGCUCACUGGACCACAACUGACGCUGAGGAGCGAAAGCAUGGGGAGCGAACAGG
rnacentral:rRNA from 1 species